CCUAUGGAGCCUCCUGACAUGGUCCUUUGCAGAUGGUAGCAGCAGCUUACCAGAUUUACAGUUCUUUCAAAGUUUGACCCAAGAUUUGAGAGCUACAGGAAGGCAAGGCCAAGGAAAACAGCCCAAAUCUGUAUUUUUCAGGUAGGAUUUUUGGUUGAUGUGUUGCAACUACAGUAAAGAAACCAGAAGUACCUCUUAACUUAGAAACUAUUGAGAAUCCAAGUGAUCACCAAAUAGUUAAGAAACCAAUGCUGCAUUUAUCUCAAGAUUAAAAGCUGCCCUUCCAAGGGGUUUAAAGAUGCUUCCUCAACUGUAACAUUUAGAAAAAAAAGAGGCAUACCAAGAAAUUAAUUUCUCUUCAAUGUUUCCUUCGAAAGUGUUCCCAUCUUCAC
ensembl:lncRNA